UACGGAGGGUGCAAGCGUUAAUCGGAAUUACUGGGCGUAAAGGGUGCGUAGGCGGUUUUUUAAGUCUGGCGUGAAAUCCCCGGGCUCAACCUGGGAAUGGCAGUGGAUACUGGACAGCUAGAGUGUGUCAGAGGAUGGUGGAAUUCCCGGUGUAGCGGUGAAAUGCGUAGAGAUCGGGAGGAACAUCAGUGGCGAAGGCGGCCAUCUGGGACAACACUGACGCUGAGGCACGAAAGCGUGGGGAGCAAACAGG
rnacentral:rRNA from 1 species